rnacentral:lncRNA from 1 species
GGCGAGUUUGUAAAAAGAUGGAGCAAUAAUUUGUACAUUUUAAAUUUUAUAAAAAGCCGAUUUCAAUCAUGUUUUCUUGUCGAUUGGAUGAUACUCUUUUGUUUAUGCCUUCUAAACAAUGUCCUCCAUUUCUUUAUAUUAUCCGAAAACCCAAAAAAUAUCAUAAACUAAAGACAAUCCAGAUCAUGGCUCCUUAUUUAAAAUCGAUGUUGCAUUUAUGUUGAAGAGUUCUGUAGAAGAAGCCUCUCACAUAUCCUUCAAACAAAACUUGAAGCCUAUCAGCCAAAAAAAAAAAAGGUAAAGAAAUAAACUGAUUACAAAAAAAUGCAAGGAACAAAGGCAAAUAUUACGAUCUGAAAUGAUGAAGAAACCUACCGCUGUCUCCG